AUGUCUCCAUGUCCCCGUUCCCUGUGUAAGCUGCUUCCUCUCGUUGUCCGUCUCCACAGAGCUCUGCUGCCGAGCGACGGCCUCGGGGGCGGCGUCCCUUUGUUAAAUCAGCCGAGACGCAUUUCCAUCACAGAUUCUUGGUGGGUCAAAACGAAUGAGAAGACCCGGCUGUCCGCUGGUCACAGGACCACGUCCCUCCCGUCUGUCUGGGGCUCAACAGGAAGAGGACCACCGGCAACCCUCGCUGACCCUCAGGGGACUACCUGGAAGCCCCAGCCUUGGCAAACCGCUUAUCCCAAAAUCCUGCAGGACGGAGCCGUGGAAAGUUUUAGACCCCAGGAGGUCCAUGAGGAAGUCACCUACGCGGAGCCUCUGUCGCCUCCCAUCGAGCAGGAGGCGCAAACAACAGCAGGCGCCGCGGAAGGAGACGAGGAGUCCGUCAUCGGGACGCAGCCCCGCCUCGGUGAUACCACACCCAACAUUACACCGUACCCUGUCAGAAUGAGAGAGGAGUCCUGUGGUUUCUCAGACGAAUCCGAUGGUGAUCCGCCUGUGGAAAGACCCUCUGGAAAAGAAGAGGUUGAAGAGAUGCGAGCUGAAACGAGUGCGUGGCCACGAGAAGAGUUUACAGGCGGAGGAGGAGAGCCCGUGCAAGAGGAAACGUCAGAUGUUGAAACAGAGGCGGUGACUGAACCAAACUCUGAUUCCAGGACCAGCAGACCGGUGUCUGAACCUGAAGAGAGCUUCUGCCCAACUGAAAACAUCUGGAAGGACGAUGCCGCUGAGAUGAGGCAGCAGACGAGCUGUUCUAUGGAUAGAAACCAUGGGGCAGAGGUCGAGGAUAAGUUGUACCCCGAUGGGGAAGAGAUGGAUACGUGGGAUAGUGUAACGGAGGGGAAGGUUGAUCUGAAGACGGAAAAGAACACAACAAAUGAUGAAGAAAAAGGACAACACGCCGAACCCGAGGAAGACAUUUCAGCAAGAGACCAAAAGCAUGAAAAGACAGGAAUUGGGUCUGAUUUUGUUCGUCAAUACAAUGAGGCCUCGUCAAAGACGCACACACAAGUGGACGGCGAACAGCGCUCGCUUCUCCCCGACAACCAACUGGACGACGACGAGGACGAUUCUGAAAAUGUCUCCGUGUCGUGGAGGACCGAGCUGGAGAGCGACAGCUACGCUCAGGAUAACACUCUCGCCGACACCACGCCUCUCAUUCGGUACGAGAGCGACGGGGCCGACGCCACCACGCAGGCGUCCCGCGUGGACGAGGGCGACUCCAGCGAGGGCGAACAGGAAAGGAAGCCUGGAGGGACGGCGAUGUGGAGCGAAGGCAAGUCGAAGACAUUUGGAACUAUGGAGGAUCUGUGCGAGGAGGUCGAAGGGGAGGCGCUGCACGAGGACUACGAUCUGGGAUCUGCUCCCAUCGGGGGUCACGGGGAGACUCUGACUGGGCAUCCGACCCUGGUGAGUGCCGGAGAAACCGUCCGAAAAGUCAGCGAGGGGCGAUCGGAUGCAGAAACUGAAGAACUUACCAAAUCCACGACACCCACAGACAUGUGCAGCGACGAGGAGACGGACCGGCUUGUGGAACAGGAAUUAGAGAACAUCGCCACGGAGAAUUACAGGGCUCACUUUGCACAGCAGCAGGUCAGUGGGAGCGAGGAGAUGCUACAUCGGCAGGGCAGGUCCAUCGAGGAAAAGACCGAGCAGGAAGAGGCCGGAAUGCCUGGCUCUACUGACGCCAGCGUACAUCGGCAACCCGCCCCUUCCACUACGUUCACCGAUCCACCUUGUGAGAACCUGUAUUUGUGGGACUCGCUAGUGGGAAUCACUCUGCCGUGUGCGCCGGUGCAGGAGGAAGAUCGCAGCGCUCCCAUGGCGACACAUGCCGAUGCUACAGAAGAUCCCCCCAGCUUUACGGACCUCAUCAGCGGGCCCGAAGGAAUCCACCUCUCAGAGGAUCCAAAGCCUGGGUUGCAGGUCACAGCGGAUCCGGGACACCUGCAGGACGUGGCGGCACCAGCCAGAGUGAAAGAGGCUCAACCAGCGGAGGCAUCAAGUGUAUCUCAUGAACAUCGAGCUGAGGGUGUUACAGACCACCAGGAGUUCCAAGAAGCUCCAGAAGCAGCCGAAUGGGAAGUCCUGGAAGACUUCAGAUCUUCAGAUCAGAAAUCAGAGGGCCGAUUAUGA
ensembl:lncRNA